rnacentral:rRNA from 1 species
CGGACGGGUGAGUAACGCGUGAGAACCUACCUUUUGGAGAGGGAUAACCAUUGGAAACGAUGGCUAAUACCUCGUAUUGCUGAGAAGUGAAAGAUGAAAGUCGCCAAUAGAUGGGCUUGCGGCUGAUUAGCUUGUUGGUGAGGUAAUGGCUUACCAAGGCGAUGAUCAGUAGCUGGUCUGAGAGGAUGAUCAGCCACACUGGGACUGAGACACGGCCCAGACUCCUACGGGAGGCAGCAGUGAGGAAUUUUCCGCAAUGGGCGACAGCCUGACGGAGCAAUGCCGCGUGAAGGAUGAAGGCCUAUGGGUUGUAAACUUCUUUUCUCAGAGAAGAAGCAUUGACGGUAUCUGAGGAAUAAGCAUCGGCUAACUCUGUGCCAGCAGCCGCGGUAAGACAGAGGAUGCAAGCGUUAUCCGGAAUGAUUGGGCGUAAAGCGUCUGUAGGUGGCUUAAAAAGUCUCCUGUCAAAGAUCAGGGCUUAACCCUGGGUCGGCAGGAGAAACUCUUAGGCUAGAGUUUGGUAGGGGCAGAGGGAAUUCCCGGUGGAGCGGGUGAAAUG